rnacentral:rRNA from 1 species
UGCAGUCGAGCGACUGAUUAGAAGCUUGCUUCUAUGACGUUAGCGGCGGACGGGUGAGUAACACGUGGGCAACCUGCCUGUAAGACUGGGAUAACUUCGGGAAACCGAAGCUAAUACCGGAUAGGAUCUUCUCCUUCAUGGGAGAUGAUUGAAAGAUGGUUUCGGCUAUCACUUACAGAUGGGCCCGCGGUGCAUUAGCUAGUUGGUGAGGUAACGGCUCACCAAGGCAACGAUGCAUAGCCGACCUGAGAGGGUGAUCGGCCACACUGGGACUGAGACACGGCCCAGACUCCUACGGGAGGCAGCAGUAGGGAAUCUUCCGCAAUGGACGAAAGUCUGACGGAGCAACGCCGCGUGAGUGAUGAAGGCUUUCGGGUCGUAAAACUCUGUUGUUAGGGAAGAACAAGUACGAGAGUAACUGCUCGUACCUUGACGGUACCUAACCAGAAAGCCACGGCUAACUACGUGCCAGCAGCCGCGGUAAUACGUAGGUGGCAAGCGUUAUCCGGAAUUAUUGGGCGUAAAGCGCGCGCAGGCGGUUUCUUAAGUCUGAUGUGAAAGCCCACGGCUCAACCGUGGAGGGUCAUUGGAAACUGGGGAACUUGAGUGCAGAAGAGAAAAGCGGAAUUCCACGUGUAGCGGUGAAAUGCGUAGAGAUGUGGAGGAACACCAGUGGCGAAGGCGGCUUUUUGGUCUGUAACUGACGCUGAGGCGCGAAAGCGUGGGGAGCAAAACAGGAUUAGAUACCCUGGUAGUCCACGCCGUAAACGAUGAGUGCUAAGUGUUAGAGGGUUUCCCCCCCUUUAGUGCUGCACUAACGCAUUUAACACUCCGCCCUGGGGAGUACGGUCCCAGACU